GGUUCUCUGCAUAGUGCACAAGUCUUUCGCCUUUUACUAAAGACUUCCGUGCAGGGCAACAGUAA
rnacentral:snRNA from 1 species